UACGUAGGGGGCAAGCGUUGUCCGGAUUUAUUGGGUGUAAAGGGCGCGUAGGCGGUUUCUUAAGUUUGAAGUGACAGUGGGUGGCUUAACUACCCAAGGCCUUUGAAAACUGGGGAACUUGAGGACCAGAGAGGGACAUAGAAUUCCGGGUGGAGUGGUGAAAUGCGUAGAUAUCCGGAGGAAUACCAAAGGCGAAGGCAGUGUCCUGGAGGGUUAACUGACGCUGAGGCGCGAAAGCUAGGGGAGCGAACAGG
rnacentral:rRNA from 1 species